GGAUGUGAGGGAGAUCUGGCUGCGACAUCUGUCACCCCAUUGAUCGCCAGGGUUGAUUCAGCUGAUCUGGCUGGCUAGGCGGGUGUCCUCUUCCUCCCUCACCGCUACAUGUGCGUCCCUCCCGAAGCUACGCGCCUUCCCCGAAUAGAGAUGGACUGGUAUACGAGUAGCUGCGCUCCCCUGCUCGAACCUCCAACCAAGCUCUCAAGAAGGGUAUAAAAGGGAGGGGCUUGUAGAAGUCUUGGUCUUUUGGUCUUGGACUUUUGCCUUUUGAAACAGGUCCAGAGAC
rnacentral:snRNA from 1 species